UACAGGGGGUGCAAACGUUGCUCGGAAUUAUUGGGCGUAAAGAGCUCGUAGGCGGUCUGUCGCGUCUGCUGUGAAAACUCGGGGCUUAACCCCGGGCCUGCAGUGGGUACGGGCAGACUAGAGUGCGGUAGGGGAGACUGGAAUUCCUGGUGUAGCGGUGAAAUGCGCAGAUAUCAGGAGGAACACCGAUGGCGAAGGCAGGUCUCUGGGCCACUACUGACGCUGAGGAGCGAAAGCGUGGGGAGCGAACAGG
rnacentral:rRNA from 1 species